rnacentral:rRNA from 1 species
CGUGUAGGCGGGAGUGCAAGUCAGAUGUGAAAAUUAUGGGCUCAACCCAUAACCUGCAUUUGAAACUGUACUUCUUGAGUACUGGAGAGGCAGGCGGAAUUCCGUGUGUAGCGGUGAAAUGCGUAGAUAUACGGAGGAACACCAGUGGCGAAGGCGGCCUGCUGGACAGCAACUGACGCUGAGGCGCGAAAGCGUGGGGAGCAAACA